rnacentral:rRNA from 1 species
UUUAAAUUGAGAGUUUGAUCCUGGCUCAGGACGAACGCUGGCGGCGUGCCUAACACAUGCAAGUCGAGCGAUGAAACUUCCUUCGGGAAGUGGAUUAGCGGCGGACGGGUGAGUAACACGUGGGUAACCUGCCUCAAAGAGUGGGAUAGCCUCCCGAAAGGGAGAUUAAUACCGCAUAACAUUAUUUUAUGGCAUCAUAAAAUAAUCAAAGGAGCAAUCCGCUUUGAGAUGGACCCGCGGCGCAUUAGCUAGUUGGUGAGGUAACGGCUCACCAAGGCAACGAUGCGUAGCCGACCUGAGAGGGUGAUCGGCCACAUUGGAACUGAGACACGGUCCAGACUCCUACGGGAGGCAGCAGUGGGGAAUAUUGCGCAAUGGGGGAAACCCUGACGCAGCAACGCCGCGUGAGUGAUGAAGGUUUUCGGAUCGUAAAACUCUGUCUUUAGGGACGAUAAU